rnacentral:rRNA from 1 species
GAUGAACGCUAGCGGCAGGCCUAACACAUGCAAGUCGAGGGGCAGCACAGAAACAGCAAUGUUUUGGUGGCGACCGGCGGACGGGUGCGUAACGCGUAUGCAACCUACCUUUAACAGGGGGAUAACGGAGAGAAAUUUCCACUAAUACCCCAUAACAUCGAUCAAGGCAUCUUGAUUGGUUGAAAACUCCGGUGGUUAAAGAUGGGCAUGCGUCGUAUUAGGUAGUUGGUGAGGUAAUGGCUCACCAAGCCUACGAUACAUAGGGGGACUGAGAGGUUAGCCCCCCACACUGGUACUGAGACACGGACCAGACUCCUACGGGAGGCAGCAGCGAGGAAUAUUGGUCAAUGGGGGCAACCCUGAACCAGCCAUGCCGCGUGCAGGAAGACGGCUCUAUGAGUUGUAAACUGCUUUUAAACAGGGAUAAAGCACAGUAUGUAUACUGUGUUGAAGGUACUGUAAGAAUAAGGAUCGGCUAACUCCGUGCCAGCCGCCGCAGUAA